rnacentral:rRNA from 1 species
CUAGUAUAAGCAUUAUACAGCGAAACUGCGAAUGGCUCAUUAUAUAAGUUAUCGUUUAUUUGAUAGUACCUUACUACUUGGAUAACCGUGGUAAUUCUAGAGCUAAUACAUGCUAAAAAUCCCGACUUCGGAAGGGAUGUAUUUAUUAGAUUAAAAACCAAUGCCCUCUGGGCUCCUUGGUGAUUCAUAAUAACUUUUCGAAUCGCAUGGCCUUGCGCCGGCGAUGGUUCMUUHAAAUUUCUUCCCUAUCAACUUUCSAUGKUUGGGUAUDGRCCAAACAUGGUCGCAACGGGUAACGGAGGGUUAGGGCUCGACCCCGGAGAAGGAGCCUGAGAAACGGCUACUACAUCCAAGGAAGGCAGCAGGCGCGCAAAUUACCCAAUCCCGAUUCGGGGAGGUAGUGACAAUAAAUACUGAUACAGGGCUCUUUUGGGUCUUGUAAUUGGAAUGAGUACAAUUUAAAUCCCUUAACGAGGWACAAUUGGAGGGCAAGUCUGGUGCCAGCAGCCGCGGUAAUUCCAGCUCCAAUAGCGUAUAUUAAAGUUGUUGUGGUUAAAAAGCUCGUAGUUGAACCUUGGGCCUGGCUGGCCGGUCCSCCUCACCGCGUGUACUGGUCCGGCCGGGCCUUUCCCUCUGUGGAACCUCAUGCCCUUCACUGGGUGUGGCGGGGAAACAGGACUUUUACUUUGAAAAAAUUAGAGUGCUCCAGGCAGGCCUAUGCUCGAAUACAUUAGCAUGGAAUAAUGAAAUAGGACGUGUGGUUCUAUUUUGUUGGUUUCUAGGACCGCCGUAAUGAUUAAUAGGGACAGUCGGGGGCAUCAGUAUUCAAUUGUCAGAGGUGAAAUUCUUGGAUUUAUUGAAGACUAACUACUGCGAAAGCAUUUGCCAAGGAUGUUUUCAUUAAUCAGGAACGAAAGUUAGGGGAUCGAAGACGAUCAGAUACCGUCGUAGUCUUAACCAUAAACUAUGCCGACUAGGGAUCGGACGAUGUUAUUUUUUGACGCGUUCGGCACCYUACGAGAAAUCAAAGUGCUUGGGCUCCAGGGGAGA